AUCUUUUUUUAAGGCCUCAUUAUCUUCCUACAGGGGACGCUGAAUUCCAUAACCACUGCCCUAUUGUUAGACUGUUUCCAUUUCCCCAGUUGUAACAGGCUAUGAGAUACAGCUUUGUACACAAAUCUUUUCUUCCGCCAUGCCUGCUGUUUACCUUAGGACCCAUUCCCAGAAGAGAAAUUACUGAGCAAAAGCAAAUGAGCAUUUUUCAAGCUACAGAUUCUGGAACUGCUCUCCAGACACACUGCUUCAGUCUCCCAGGGUCUCCACCAACCCAGCCACCUUUGGCUCUGAGGACGUUCUGCAGUGAAAUAACCAUUGCUUUGAGCUCUCAUAAAGGUUACCUGUGGUGGAAACAAAACUAAAUACAACCCGGACACCAUUUUGCUUGCGUCCUAAACUGGAAACAGGCUUGUGCAGAACACUCUUGGGAGCCUCACCGGGUGGCAUGGAAUGGAAUAGCAGGACAGAUUCCUGGAAGAAGAGAAUGAGAACUCCAUCCCUGUGUGUUGUGAGAGAAGAAGCAAAUGAUCAAUACAACCCACUCCAUCCCCCUUCCCCCAGCCCACAGCAAAGAUGCCUGGAAUUAGAGCGGAGUUUCCUAAUAUGCCUGCGUCAGGAAUAUAGCUGGAGAUAGCCGAAAGUAUCACUUCAGGGUUUGAAAAUAGAUCAUUUCCACACUUACCAAGCAAGAUUUAACUUCAUCUCCUUGUUUUCAGUUUAGCACCUUGGCCUGGUCCUCCUCUCGGCCUGGCAUCCCUGAGCAUGGGACUUCAGCAGAGAACAAAUGUCUAGUCUUCUAAGAAGAGAGAGAAGAGGACCGGAAGGGUGGAAAUAUAAAUGCCUGGCUGCACAGAGGUGGAUGAGGGAACCCAGAGAUCUACCUUCUAUAGACCUUCAACCAAACUGUGUUUUAGCCUCAUGCUUCAUCUUCACUCUCUGCGGUACGUAGUGGCUCUGAAGCCUGAAUCUUUCUGGGGGUCUUGUGAAAAAAUUGUUCAUGAAAAAAAAAAACAAAAAUUCUCAGCGUGCCUGGAUGGCUCAGUCAGUUGGUUAAGCGUCUGACUCUUGAUCUCUGCUCAGGUCAUGAUCUCAUGGUUCGUGAGUUUGAGCCCCAAGCCCUGAGUCAGGCUCUAUGCCAACAGCACAGGAGCCUGCUUGGGUUUCUCUCUCCCUCUCACUCUCUGCCCCUCCCCCACUUGUGCUCUCUCUCUCUCUCUCUCUCUC